UACGUAGGGGGCAAGCGUUGUCCGGAAUUAUUGGGCGUAAAGAGCGUGUAGGCGGUCCGGUAAGUCAGCUGUGAAAGUCAAGGGCUCAACCCUUGAAAGCCGGUUGAUACUGUCGGGCUAGAGUCCGGAAGAGGCGAGUGGAAUUCCCGGUGUAGCGGUGAAAUGCGCAGAUAUCGGGAGGAACACCAAUGGCGAAGGCAGCGCGCUGGGACGGUACUGACGCUGAGACGCGAAAGCCAGGGGAGCGAACGGG
rnacentral:rRNA from 1 species